AUGAUUUGCAUUAGCUGGAAGGGCCGGGGGCUUGGAAACCCCUAGGCAGUUCGGGAGCUUCGCCGACUGGUGAAGCAAGAAGGGCCUGCCCUAUUGUUCAUAAUGUAGACUAAAAUCAGGGCUAAGAGAGUGGAAGACCUGCGAUAUCAAUUCGGUUUCUCAGGUUGUUUCGCAGUCGACAGUGCUGGAAUGGGUGGUGGAAUUGGGCUUUACUGGUCCAAUGAUGUGGAUGUUAACUUGAAAAAUUAUAGC
rnacentral:rRNA from 1 species